rnacentral:rRNA from 1 species
GCGGUAAGGCCUUUCGGGGUACACGAGCGGCGAACGGGUGAGUAACACGUGGGUGAUCUGCCCUGCACUUCGGGAUAAGCCUGGGAAACUGGGUCUAAUACCGGAUAUGACCUCCUAUCGCAUGGUGGGUGGUGGAAAGAUUUAUCGGUGCAGGAUGGGCCCGCGGCCUAUCAGCUUGUUGGUGGGGUAAUGGCCUACCAAGGCGACGACGGGUAGCCGACCUGAGAGGGUGACCGGCCACACUGGGACUGAGACACGGCCCAGACUCCUACGGGAGGCAGCAGUGGGGAAUAUUGCACAAUGGGCGAAAGCCUGAUGCAGCGACGCCGCGUGAGGGAUGACGGCCUUCGGGUUGUAAACCUCUUUCAGCAGGGACGAAGCGCAAGUGACGGUACCUGCAGAAGAAGCACCGGCUAACUACGUGCCAGCAGCCGCGGUAAUACGUAGGGUGCAAGCGUUGUCCGGAAUUACUGGGCGUAAAGAGUUCGUAGGCGGUUUGUCGCGUCGUUUGUGAAAACCAGCAGCUCAACUGCUGGCUUGCAGGCGAUACGGGCAGACUUGAGUACUGCAGGGGAGACUGGAAUUCCUGGUGUAGCGGUGAAAUGCGCAGAUAUCAGGAGGAACACCGGUGGCGAAGGCGGGUCUCUGGGCAGUAACUGACGCUGAGGAACGAAAGCGUGGGUAGCGAACAGGAUUAGAUACCCUGGUAGUCCACGCCGUAAACGGUGGGCGCUAGGUGUGGGUUCCUU